rnacentral:rRNA from 1 species
UACGGAGGGUGCGAGCGUUGUCCGGAAUCACUGGGCGUAAAGAGCGUGUAGGCGGUUUGGUAGGUCCGCUGUGAAAACUCGAGGCUCAACCUCGAGACGCCGGUGGAAACCAUCAGACUAGAGUCCGGAAGAGGAGAGUGGAAUUCCUGGUGUAGCGGUGAAAUGCGCAGAUAUCAGGAAGAACACCCGUGGCUAAGGCGGCUCUCUAGUACGGUACUGACGCUGAGACGCGAAAGCGUGGGGAGCGAACAGG